rnacentral:rRNA from 1 species
CCUACGGGAGGCAGCAGUGGGGAAUAUUGGGCAAUGGGGGGAACCCUGACCCAGCAACGCCGCGUGGAGGAAGAAGGUUUUCGGAUCGUAAACUCCUGUCCUUGGAGACGAGUAGAAGACGGUAUCCAAGGAGGAAGCCCCGGCUAACUACGUGCCAGCAGCCGCGGUAAUACGUAGGGGGCAAGCGUUGUCCGGAAUAAUUGGGCGUAAAGGGCGCGUAGGCGGCUCGGUAAGUCUGGAGUGAAAGUCCUGCUUUUAAGGUGGGAAUUGCUUUGGAUACUGUCGGGCUUGAGUGCAGGAGAGGUUAGUGGAAUUCCCAGUGUAGCGGUGAAAUGCGUAGAGAUUGGGAGGAACACCAGUGGCGAAGGCGACUAACUGGACUGUAACUGACGCUGAGGCGCGAAAGUGUGGGGAGCAAACAGGA